GAUGAAGAAACGUAGCGAAAUGCGAUAAGUAAUGUGGAUUGCAGAAUUCAGUGAAUCAUCGAAUCUUUGAACGCACAUUGCGCCCCUUGGUAUUCCGAGGGGCAUGCCUGUUCGAGCGUCAUUAUAACCCCUCAAGCUCAGCUUGGUGUUGGGGCCUGCUGCACUGGCAGCCCUUAAAAUCAGUGGCGGCGCCAUCUGGCUCUAAGCGUAGUAAUUCUUCUCGCUAUGGAGUCCUGGUGGAUGCUUGCCAUCAACCCCCAAUUUUUCUAUGGUUGACCUCGGAUCAGGUAGGGAUACCCGCUGAACUUAAGCAUAUCAAUAAGCGGAGGA
rnacentral:misc_RNA from 1 species